GAGCACGGGUAGUACGCAUUGAUCCUCAAUUUCCGCUUCAAGGUGACCGCGAUGCACACGAUGAGGAGCAUAAGGAGGGCGACCGAGGCUCCAGCGACGAUAUAGAUCAGGUUCCUGUGGAGGAAUUCAACGACCUGAUCCAGAGCGGUAGCCGCCCCAUCCGUCAAGUCACCGGUGGACGUAGUUUGGUAGUCGAGGAGCGUGCUGCUUCUGGUGGUCAGCUGUGUAGGACCCGGGGCCAAGGCGCCGGUCUCUUCUUCUGUGGCGCUCCCCUCCGCUAGGAUCUGUAGAGGGAAUGGUGAGGCCAAACUGCUGCCGGACCACAGCGCUAAAGACAGGCCGAUCCCGUGUGGAGCCAUCGGAUGCAUCAUCAGGCUCUGUAAACAAGAAGAUAACCUAUAGGAUCUUCAGCGAUGCAACAUCUGGUCAUCAGAACCCCUCCCACCACUGUAGUCACCACUAUAGACUUUGAACCCUCAGUCAUCAUCGGCCCUUUUGGACUCCAUCUGUCUGCAAGCUGCUUCCUGAGGUGCAACUCAACACUCAUCAGGCCGGCUGGACUGGACCAACUCAUGCAAAGCAUCCUGCGCCUACAAAAGUUCCCCAUUCACACCGGGCCUUGCUGAACCCCUCCCCUACGCAGAGAAACCACACUCACACACACGCAGGCAUUACAAAACAGAGAUGAGCAGGUCUGCACCACAGUGAUGGUGCAGUGUAAAAUAAUUUAAUCAUUGUCCCACAUUUAUUUUGGUUAUUGCCACAUCAAAUCAUAUUAGCGGGUUGUAAAUUAAUAAAGUAACAAAAAUACCCUUUAAAAAUAAAAACAAGAAGAAAAAGUAAACACA